rnacentral:rRNA from 1 species
GAUGAACGCUGGCGGCGUGCUUAACACAUGCAAGCCGAACGAAGCACCUUGAUUUGAUUCUUCGGAUGAAGAUCUUGGUGACUGAGUGGCGGACGGGUGAGUAACGCGUGGGUAACCUGCCUCAUACAGGGGGAUAACAGUUAGAAAUGACUGCUAAUACCGCAUAAGACCACAGUACCGCAUGGUACAGGGGUAAAAACUCCGGUGGUAUGAGAUGGACCCGCGUCUGAUUAGGUAGUUGGUGGGGUAACGGCCUACCAAGCCGACGAUCAGUAGCCGACCUGAGAGGGUGACCGGCCACAUUGGGACUGAGACACGGCCCAAACUCCUACGGGAGGCAGUAGUGGGGAAUAUUGCACAAUGGGGGAAGCCCUGAUGCAGCGACGCCGCGUGAGCGAUGAAGUAUUUCGGUAUGUAAAGCUCAAUCAGCAGGGAAGAAAAUGACGGUACCUGACUAAGAAGCACCGGCUAAAUACGUGCCAGCAGCCGCCGUAA